AGGUAAGACAGAGGUGCAAGCGUUAUCCGGAAUGAUUGGGCGUAAAGCGUCUGUAGGUGGCUUUUCAAGUCCGCCGUCAAAUCCCAGGGCUCAACCCUGGACAGGCGGUGGAAACUACCAAGCUGGAGUACGGUAGGGGCAGAGGGAAUUUCCGGUGGAGCGGUGAAAUGCAUUGAGAUCGGAAAGAACACCAACGGCGAAAGCAGCCUCCGUGGGCCAGCACUGACGCUCAUGCACGAAAGCGUGGGGAGCAAACAGGAAU
rnacentral:rRNA from 1 species